AAGGAAUAGAUGACAAAUACUACUUGCACUGCUGAUAUACAAGCGGGGAAACAAGCCAAUAAGGAAUAAGGUGAGAAAUAAUACUACUGAGACUAGGGAUAUACAAGCGGGGAAACAAGCCAAUAAGGAAUAAAGUGAGAUAUACUACUGGGACUACUGAUAUACAAGCGGGGAAACAAGCCAAUAAGGAAUAAAGUGAGAAAUACUACUGGGACUACUGAUAUACAAGCGGGGAAACAAGCCAAUAAGGAAUAAAGUGAGAUAUACUACUGGGACUACUGAUAUACAAGCGGGGAAACAAGCCAAUAAGGAAUAAAGUGAGAAAUACUACUGGGACUACUGAUAUACAAGCGGGGAAACAAGCCAAUAAGGAAUAAAGUGAAAAAUACCGCUGGGAAUACUAAUAUACAAGCGGGGAAACAAGCCACU